UGGGGAAUUUUGGACAAUGGGGGAAACCCUGAUCCAGCCAUCCCGCGUGUGCGAUGAAGGCCUUCGGGUUGUAAAGCACUUUUGGCAGGAAAGAAACGUCAUGGGUUAAUACCCCGUGAAACUGACGGUACCUGCAGAAUAAGCACCGGCUAACUACGUGCCAGCAGCCGCGGUAAUACGUAGGGUGCAAGCGUUAAUCGGAAUUACUGGGCGUAAAGCGUGCGCAGGCGGUUCGGAAAGAAAGAUGUGAAAUCCCAGAGCUCAACUUUGGAAAUGCAUUUUUAACUACCGGGCUAGAGUGUGUCAGAGGGAGGUGGAAUUCCGCGUGUAGCAGUGAAAUGCGUAGAUAUGCGGAGGAACACCGAUGGCGAAGGCAGCCUCCUGGGAUAACACUGACGCUCAUGCAAGAAAGCGUGGGGAGCAAACAGG
rnacentral:rRNA from 1 species